rnacentral:lncRNA from 1 species
GUGUUUCCAAGCGCGUGAAUGAGAGCGCGUUCUUUGGUAUUUUUCUCCGGGAAAGACAAUAACAAUUCUCCGUCUUAAAUUGUAUCGUUUAUUUACGUAUUAGGGUACCUAAGGUUUGAUUAUAAACGUUGUUUUACUUGUUUGGAAAAGUUUAUUAGUAAUGUUUGGGAUUCAUUUUGUAUGCAUUUUGAUGGAGGGAAACUGGGUGGAUUAUUGACUGAAGCACACCAACUAAACUGAGUUUUUAUGAAUAUAAAGUAGGACAUUAUCGAACAAAAGGACAAUUUGUGAUGUAACUGGGACCUUUUGGAGUGCCAACAGAAGAAGAUCAAAGGGGGUGUUCCUUUACUUCUCGAAGAAGCUCCGCCCGGCGGAGCGGAACUAUGAUGUGGGGGACCGGGAGCUGUUGGCUAUGGUUAAGGCUUUGAAGGCGUGGACACAUUGGCUUGAGGGGGCUAAACUCCCUUUUCUCAUUUGGACUGACCACUGCAACCUGGAGUACAUCCGGGCAGCGAGGAGACUGAAUCCUCCUCAGGCAAGG